rnacentral:rRNA from 1 species
ACUAAACUUUUAGCCACACCUUUCUCCCCCAUCACUACCCAUUUAAUAAAACAUUUUCCCAUCUUUAGUAUAGGCGAUAGAAAAACCAUUUAGAGCUAUAGACAGUACCGCAAGGAAACAAUGAAAUAGAAAUGAAAUAACACAAAAGUACUACACAGCAGAGAUUUACUCUCGUACCUUUCGCAUCAUGAUCUAGCCAGUCCAACCAAGCAAAAAGAAUUACAGUUUGACACCCCGAAACUAAGUGAGCUACUCCGAGGCAACUUAUAGAGUCAACCCGUCUCUGUGGCAAAAGAGUGGGAAGACCUCCGAGUAGAGGUGAUAAACCUAUCGAACUUAGUGAUAGCUGGUUACUCAAGAAACGGGUGUAAGCCCAACCUUAAAUUAACUAAGCAGAUCCUAGCAACCCAACAAUUUAAGAGCCAUUCAAAUAAGGUACAGCUUAUUUGAAACAGGAUACAACCUCUACUCCCGGGUAAUGAACCCCCCCCCCCGUGAACAAGUAGGCCUAAAAGCAGCCACCUUCUAAACAGCGUCAAAGCUUUUACACGAUAUUAACUAAAUACCCCCCAUCAAUCAAAACCCAUAUAUUCUACUGAGUGACUCCAUAACACUAUGGAAGACCCUAUGCUAGAAUCAGUAACCUGAAGAACCCCCUUCUCUACGACACAAGUGUAUAUCAGAUCGGACACUCCGCUGAUAAUUAACGCCCAUGAAAAGACGGCAGCAACUCAACUAGAAAACCCUGCCUCACAAUACGUUAACCUAACACAAGAACGCCACUAGAAAGAUUAAAAGGAGCGGAAGGAACUCGGCAAACACCAACCCCGCCUGUUUACCAAAAACAUCGCCUCUUGAUAAGAUAAGAGGUCCAGCCUGCCCAGUGACUUAGUUCAACGGCCGCGGUAUCCUGACCGUGCGAAGGUAGCGUAAUCACUUGUUCUCUAAAUAAGGACUAGUAUGAAUGGCAUCACGAAGGUUGCACUGUCUCCCGCCCCCAAUCAGUGAAAUUAAUCUCCCCGUGAAGAAGCGGGGAUAAAACUAUAAGACGAGAAGACCCCGUGGAGCUUAAAACUAAGGGCACCUGCUUACCCUAAAUCAAAGUUUAGCACCCUGACCCACAGUUUUUGGUUGGGGCGACCAAGGAGAAAAACCCACCCUCCACGCUGAAUGACCACUCAUCUUAGCCUAAAGCUACUGCUUCAAGCAUCAACAUUCUGACACCCAUUGACCCAAUUUAUUGAUCAACGAACCAAGUUACCCCGGGGAUAACAGCGCAAUCUACUUCAAGAGCUCCUAUCGACAAGUGGGUUUACGACCUCGAUGUUGGAUCAGGGUACCCAAGUGGUGCAGCCGCUACUAACGGUUCGUUUGUUCAACGAUUAAAACCCU